rnacentral:lncRNA from 1 species
CGCUGAUGGAAUCCUGUGUGGACGGUUAAGCAGUAGAUCAAAUGAGAAGCAGAGACUCAGUGAAGUGAUGAUGUGAGUUCUUCACUGUAGCCUCCACAAUAAACAGAGAACAGCAACAUUCAUAGAAGCUGAAGUGAUAAAGCUUCUCUGCCAAUCAAAACACACUCUGCUGCAGAACACAACAGAUUCAUCUGCCUACAGCAGCAUGUGCUGUUGCCGGGGGAUAUUGUAAUCAUGUUGUAAAUAUGUACAUCACAUCUCUACAUCACAUCUCUACAACACAUCUCUACAACACAAUCUCUACAUCACAUCUCUACAUCACAUCUCUACAAACACAUCUCUAAAACACACAUCUCUACAUCACAUCUCUACAACACAUCUCUACAUCACACAUCUCUACAUCACACAUCUCUACAUCACACAUCUCUACAUCACACAUCUCUACAACACAUCUCUACAUCACAUCUCUACAACACAUCUCUACAUCACACAUCUCUACAUCACAUCUCUACAUCACAUCUCUACAACACAUCUCUACAUCACAUCUCUACAACACAUCUCUACAUCACAUCACACAUCUCUACAUCACACAUCUCUACAUCACAUCUCUACAUCACAUCUCUACAUCACAUCUCUACAACACAUCUCUACAUCACAUCUCUACAACACAUCUCUACAUCACAUCUCUACAACACAUCUCUACAACACAUCUCUACAACACAUCUCUAUAACACAUCUCUACAUCACAUCUCUACAACACAUCUCUACAACACAUCUCUACAUCACAUCUCUACAUCACAUCUUUACAACACAUCUCUACAACACAUCUCCCCCUUUGGGCUUCUCAUGUUGGAAAGUCUGUAUUUAUGACACGAGUGUCUCCGCUGGCUUUGUGUCCAGUCUUUGUCUUUGUCUGUAUAAUAAUAUAAUAUAUAAUACAGAAGAAGUUUUCUUUGUAUUCCUACUAGACCUCUGUUAGAGAAAUGCUCCAGCUGGAAGAUGAAUGUCGAGCUGCAAUAGCCCACACACACACACACACACACACACACACACACACACACACAUACACACGGCUGUUAUUUAUUUACGCCACUGUGUGCUGCACAAAUUGGAGCAGGGGGAGGAUCCUGCCGUCUGCUUCUACUGCAAAAACACGGACUUACUAUCAGCAUCCUUUAUUUAAAUGUCUUGCAGUAUUGUGUUGUGUCUUGCGUUGUAUCUGUUGUAGUAGUAGUAAUAGUUCCUUAAUAAAUUGAGACUGUUAAUCUAUUCCCCCCCUCCUCUCCACAUAUUUCACAACGUGUUUUACAUGAAAUUGAGGGCCAAACAUGAGAGAUUCACUUUUCCUUUGCCCCAUUGUUCUCGACUAGCUUGUCUCUUGUCUGCCAUGCACACACUGCAGGAGCGCCUGGUGGUGAGUCGACUUCUCCACACAGACCGGUUUGAACCAGCCUGAAGCUGAAACUAGCCGAGCUCUCAGUUCCACAUACAAGCGACCGCAGUGAGCAGCGUUAAACCUCCUGAGCACAGAAUGUCCAACCAGACCAGCUGAUGGUCUUCCUCUUAAUCUGAGCAGCUUCAUGUUGUUCAGCAGCGCAUGUUCCAGGAUUCCUCCAUUAUUGACAGUUCACAGACGUGUCUUAUGAAAAACAUGCAGAUCCUGUAACUCUGGGCUCGUCUCUGAGAGCUCGGAAUCACUGAAGUCUAAUAAAUGUGUAAUGACGGUAAAUGAGAAGUGGUUUAUUUCAGUACAAGUGGUGUUUUCCUCUGGGCCUCAGCAGCAGUGUAAUUGUGCCACUGAACUUGUCUCAGUGUGUCGUCACGCCUCUUUAAAAGCGUUGAGUCAGCCUCAUGGUUCCUGUGUGUCUGGCUGGCGUUGAUAGUGAAAACGUCUUCAGGGAGGAAACAGUUCUACCUUCAACCCUCUGCCAACUGUACCAGUUGUACUUUCUUGCCGAUAAUUAAACUAGAGGAUCAAUCUGAUCCGUCAGAAAGUGAACAAACAUAAAGUGUUUGAAUAUAUU